CGCGUUUCUACAUCAAAAAAUGCAUUCACAGAAGCUGACAACACAUAAAUCACAAUCCUUAUUAAGCAGAUCUUACUUUUAACAGUUGUUUCUUCAAUAGUUUAUUUUCGGCCCUAAACAUCGAAAUUUCCGCUUGUAAAUAGCUAAUUUGUCGAGACCAAUGUGUCUCUAGUGAAUUUAAUUCAACUUUGAUUUUGAAUAUUUCAUCCUGAAUUUGUUCGCGUUGAAAACAGACGUUUUCAAAAUCACUCAUUAACCUUCUAAAAUGAGUUUCACACAUUUUUAGCUGUUUUGAAAAUAGACGAAAAGCGACACAAAUAUCUUAUGGUAGUACUGGGAAUUUGAGAAUGUCUACUGGAUAUCAUAGCCAUACAUAGGAAUGUAUAUGUUUAUUUACUUGAGCAGGUAAAAUAAGUUUUUGCAUGUUCAAGUUCAGUUCCGCGUUUUAUACUGCACUAGAAAAUUUAAUUACUAGGAUUAAUACUAGGUAGGUAAAUCGAGUUGUCUAGAACUCAUGCAGUUAACAUCGAUACUAAUUAUUUUGAAAAAAAUGAGGUUCUGACUGAAUACAGAAUUUAACGAAGGUGAGGUAGAAGUCAGACAAAUAGGCGAAGUAACUAAAUUAAAGGCGUUUUCCGAUUAUAUAUGGGGAACGGGAUUUUGCCACCAGAUGAGAGAACAAUUAAUAUGCCAGAGCAACUGAUAGGGCUCAUAGAAAGCAAUAAAAAGCAAAUGUGGAUGAUUGAUGGAUGAAAGUGGUCCUUGAUGGAUGAAAGAAGGAAGCACAAGGAGCAAAACCGAGACAAAGACAGAACUGAACCAAUUUUUCCCCUACUGUUGUUGCAUUCAAAUACUGCGCGCAAAACUAUUUUCACAGUAUAUUGCAAAAAUACUAUGAAUAUGAACCUGAGUAAAAAAGUGAAAAUGACCGACGUAAGUUCAUCUUGCUUUGAGCCAUCGUGUAUAUUUCAAAGUACCAAAAAGAAACACGUUGCCUACAACCGUCGUAGUUUUACAACAUUUCCUUCAGAUGACAUUUAUUUGUUGCCUCACCCUGUAAAACUUAGGGGUAUAAGUACGUUGCAAUGGCCCAUGAAAAUAUUUGGUAUAAAUUAAUAAAAAAUAAUUUCUACAUU